rnacentral:rRNA from 1 species
UACGGAGGGUGCAAGCAUUGAUCGGAAUUACUGGGCGUAAAGCGUGCGCAGGCGGUGAGUUAAGUCUGCUGUGAAAGCCCCGGGCUCAACCUGGGAAUGGCAUUGGAAACUGGCUCGCUGGAGUAUGGCAGAGGGGGGUGGAAUUCCGCGUGUAGCAGUGAAAUGCGUAGAGAUGCGGAGGAACACCGAUGGCGAAGGCAGCCCCCUGGGCCAAUACUGACGCUCAGGCACGAAAGCGUGGGGAGCAAACAGG